ACCUUGCUCAUAUCCGUCGAUGGUCCGUCGUGCGUUUCAUCGGCUCAUCGACGUCGGGUCGACUUGGAUCUUCCCUGCAACAGUAAUCUCGCUUCUGCAUUCAGAUAUGCUCCAGGGACAGUUCCGGAUUCUAGUUGAAUGUGGUUAGAAUGGAAAAUCAAAGUUUCUAACCAUGUCAAAUGCUGAGCAUCAUGGAACUUGACAUGAUAUAGAGAGAGUUUAGCUUCUUUUCCUAUAUUCUCCAAGAUCUUGCAACGCUAUGACAUUGUAAUGAUAUUUUUCUUAUAUACAGCGUAGAUGUAAAUAUAUGCUAAUCGUUAUCAGCUAUUUAGAAGAAUAUCUAGUUGAUAGACUCUGCUGAUGGACGCGACUGAUAAGUAUAUGUGGGGUUUGUUGACUGAGCCUGCG
rnacentral:sRNA from 2 species